GACAGAGGCCCCGAGCGUUAGGCGGAAUCACUGGGCUUAAAGCGUGUGUAGGCGGGCCCGUAAGUGUCUUGUGAAAUCCCACGGCUCAACCGUGGAACUGCUGGGCAUACUGCGGGUCUUGGGCCAACUAGGGGCAGCCGGAACAAGCGGUGGAGCGGUGAAAUGCGUAGAUAUCGCUUGGAACGCCGAAGGUGAAAACAGGCUGCUGGGGUUGCGCCGACGCUGAGACACGAAAGCCAGGGGAGCAAACAGG
rnacentral:rRNA from 1 species